ACGAACGCUGGCGGUGCGCCUUAUGCAUGCAAGUCGAGCGAAGCUUUUCAGUAGUUUACUACAGAAAAUGACUGAGCGGCGAACGGGUGAGUAACGCGUGAGCAAUCUACCUUAGUUACAGGGAUAGCCCGAGGAAACUCGGAUUAAUACCUGAUAUUCUUUAUUUCUCGCAUGAGAAUAAAAGGAAAGGUCAGCCGAACUAAGAUGAGCUCGCGUUCUAUCAGCUAGUUGGUGAGGUAAAAGCUUACCAAGGCUACGACGGAUAGCUGGUCUGAGAGGACGAUCAGCCACACUGGGACUGAGACACGGCCCAGACUCCUACGGGAGGCUGCAGCAGGGAAUAUUGUGCAAUGAACGAAAGUUUGACACAGCGACACCGCGUGUGGGAUGACGGAUCUAGGUUUGUAAACCACUCUCAGGAGGGAAGAAAAUGACGGUACCUCCACAAGAAGCCCCGGCCAACUACGUGCCAGCAGCCGCGGUAAUACGUAGGGGGCGAGCGUUGUCCGGAUUUAUUGGGCGUAAAGAGCUCGUAGGCGGUUCAACAAGUCGGUCGUGAAAGUUCAGGGCUCAACCCUGAAAUGUCGAUCGAUACUGUUGUGACUAGGAUACGGUAGAGGUGAGUGGAAUUCCGAGUGUAGCGGUGAAAUGCGUAGAUAUUCGGAGGAACACCAAUUGCGAAGGCAGCUCACUGGACCGCUAUCGACGCUGAGGAGCGAAAGCUAGGGGAGCAAACAGGAUUAGAUACCCUGGUAGUCCUAGCUGUAAACGAUGGAUACUAGCCGUUGGGGGGCUUGUCCCUUUAGUGGCGAAGCUAACGCGAUAAGUAGACCGCCUGGGGAGUACGGUCGCAAGAUUAAAACUCAAAUGAAUUGACGGGGGCCCGCACAAGCGGUGGAGCAUGUGGUUUAAUUCGAUGCAACGCGAAAAACCUUACCAGGCCUUGACAUCCUGAGAACUUUCUAGAGAUAGAUCGGUGCCUUCGGGAACUCAGUGACAGGUGUUGCAUGGCUGUCGUCAGCUCGUGUCGUGAGAUGUUGGGUUAAGUCCCGUAACGAGCGCAACCCUUAUCCUUACUUGCCAGCACUUCGGGUGGGAACUUUAAGGAGACUGCCGGUGACAAACCGGAGGAAGGAGAGGAUGAUGUCAAGUCAUCAUGGCCCUUACGGCCUGGGCUACACACGUGCUACAAUGGGGAGUACAAAGGGCCGCGAAGCCGCGAGGUGGAGCAAAUCCCAAAAAACUUCUCGUAGUCCGGAUCGGAGUCUGCAACUCGACUCCGUGAAGUCGGAAUCGCUAGUAAUCGCGAAUCAGCAUGUCGCGGUGAAUACGUUCCCGGGCCUUGUACACACCGCCC
rnacentral:rRNA from 1 species